rnacentral:lncRNA from 1 species
UACUUCCUCUAGGUGGUGUCGAUCACAUACAAACAAUUCCAAGGCUCCCAUACAACUUUCUGUACCUACUGGAUCGGGUGACCUUGCUUCUUCUUAUCUACAAAAGUGAAUACAUGGGAUCAAGAAAGAAACUAAAGAAAUAUUGAUAUUAAAGAUUGAUUUAGGUGGACCUACCCAUACGGCGCAUCCUUCGAACCAUCCCAAAAGCUUGAAAUGGUAAUGUUGCCCUUUACCCAACCCUUGCUAGAGUCAAGCAAAUCAAUCAUCAAUUAUAGUGAGUAUGGGUUGAGAGUAGAAACUUAUCUCAUCGAUUGAUAGUGUAUAUGAACAAAAUCUCCUAUAAUGACACAUUGAGGUUGUAAAGGGGUUCAAAACACUGAAUCCCAUAAUCGUCAAAAGGGAUCCCUUGAGACCUACCCGAAAUUUCCUUUUGUGUAAGAAUCCUAAAUUGUCCAUUAACAAUACGUGAAGUCCGAUAACAUAAACUUUUUUUUGCCAUUUUUCUUUUUUCACUCCAAUUGUAAUUAUGGGGGUUUUAACAACUUAAAUUUUAAUAUAUAUUCUUUAAUUAAAAUCUAAUUUAUCUUAUUUAUUUUAUAAAAACUUUAAAUAACUAUUUUUUUUACGCUUAAUACACCAUUUGAUGAUAUCUCUAUAUUCUAGUAUAAUUAAAUUAAUAAUGAUUUAAUAAUUCUAAUAAAAAUAAAUGUCACAUCAUCAACUUUAUCAAAUAAAAUAUUUCAAAUAAUUUGCAAUUCUAUUUCAUAAUAAUAAGAAAAUAAAAUUUGCACAUAAAAGGGCAUAAAAAUGCAUAAAAUAAAAUUAAUUUUGAAUAGAAUGAAAAAAUUUAUUAAAUUUGUUUUAACGAUGAAAAAAGAUGCCAUGGUACAGUACUUGCCAUUGAGAUUGCAAACACUGAAACUGAGUAGGAGACAUGGUUGGGGCCUCGGGAUGUGAACUGAUUUCUCGUUACCUACUCUCAAAAGAUAAAUUUCCUUUUUUUUUUUUAAAGCUUUUUGCAAAGCAAUUUGCUUGUUUAUUUUUAUUUUUAUUUUAUUUUUUAAUGAUUUAUUAUAAUUUUUUAUUGGAUAAAAAAUUAAAAUAUUUAAUUUUUUUGAAAUAAAAAAUAAUAUAUUAAAAAAAACAAACCAUCUAAUACUUUGUACUAUUAAACAUUAAAAUUCUAUUUGAAAUUAAAUAAAAAAAUCACAUUAAUAUAUAAAUAAUUUAUUAUUAUAUUAUUACUUUUUUCAAUUUAUUUUCAAAAAUAAAAAAAUCAAAAUAAGAUUAAUGAAGCAUAAUGAAAAGAAAUAUAAAUAGAAUUGAGCAAUUUAUUGAAACAUUUAUGUAAUUAUUAAAAAAGGGAGUGAGAAUAAAAAUUAUUAAUUUUGAACUAUUUACUAAUAAUAAGAAAUGAAAUAAAAUAUAAGUAUGAUUAUAUAAUAAAAAAUCUAUUUUUAUUGUUAUUCUUUUUUAAGUAAAUCCUUUUCAUGUGAUAUUAAUAUGAUUUUUAUUUUUAUUUUUUAUAUAAAUUUGGAGAUUGUUUUUAAUAAUUUAUUUAUUUUUGUUAGAUCACUUUGAUGAAUUUAGAAACAUUUAAAUUUAUCAAAUUCUUAGAUAUUUUUAAUGAUUUAAUUUUUUUUAAAUAUAUUAAAUAAUUUGAUUACUUUAAAUAUCUAAAUACUCAAAUAUCUAUAUUUAAAUAUAAUUAUAAUUUAAACAUUUAAUUAUAUAAUAAAUAUGAGCAUCACGUGGAAUUCCUCAAAUUCACUCCAUGAAUCCAUCAUUCUCCCAAUUUGCAGAAUGGGUUUCUUAACUUCUUAUGACCUCAUUCUAAGUUUUGAUUCCCAAAGUUAAGUAAACAAGUGUGUAAAGGGAAUGGGAAUCACUCCCACUGAUUCAAUUCCAUGGAAUGAAGUAAACAUUCUCUUUCUCUUUCCUUUUUAUCAUAUUUUCUAAAAGUUUAGCAAUCAUACGUGAAGGGUGAAGGAGGUCGUGGCCGGGAAUGAAAUUAAUCUUGAAAUAAAAGUUUCCACCAAUAAGAAAAAGGAAAAUAGUUUUUCUGACUACUAAUAUCAGCUGCAGCUAUGCAAUUUCAACCGACCCGCCCGACCCAAUCCCAACAAAUGGGGCUUUAGGGUGCCUUUUGGUGCUGAAGACCAUGAUUUAGGUGGGACUAGUCGGGUCCUCUCUUCAAGUUAGAUAUAAUAAAAUUUGAUGCGAGAUAGCUUAACAUAAUUCAAACUUGAAAUGUUGUUUUCUGGUUUUGGUUAAGUAUAAUCGGGUUAUGGUGAAAUUUGUAUCCAUCUACAUAACUUAUUUCAUAAAUAUAAUGUUUUUAAUAUUAAUAUGCCUAAUAAGAAUUUGAUCAAAAUUGAUAUAUUUAAUAAUUGUAUUAAUUAGCUUGAUUAUAGUUAUAACUUAUUUAAUUCACAUUUUAUUAAUUUAAAAUUUGAUUUUAAAGAAAGAGAUUAAUUUAAGUCAUAAAUAAAUCAUUUUAAGAAGUUAAUUAUAUUGAUUCAAAUAAAAUCUAAUUUCACUUGAUUAUUAAAUAUGAUAUGAUUAUUAGAUGAGUUCCACAAUAUGUUAUUUAUUUAAUAAUUACAUUAUAUUUUUAAGGAUCUCGUACUCAUGGCAUAAUAUCAACUUAAUUUGUCAUUUCUUUUAGUUAUUGUGAAAAGAAAAACCCCCCUUGAAAUUUUCUAUUUAAUUGUAACAUUUUUUAGAAUAAUUUGCUAAAACAUAUUAAUGAAAUUAAUGAAGUUAUUAAAAUUAUUAACAAAAAUUGUACCUAAAAAUUAUAAAACUCUUUUAAUAAAUUUUCCUAUUUAUUUUAAAUUAUUAAAUUUUAUAUUAAAAUUAUUAGUAAACCUUACUAAUAAAAUUAUUACAAUUAUAAAACUCAUUUAAUUGUUAUUAUUAAAUUGUACCUAAAAAUUAUCAAUUUAGUUAUUUUUAGUUAUAUGGCUCACUAGUAAACCUUACUUCCUCUAUCUAAUUUGUAUUUGGUUAUUGUUUUAUCAAUAUUAUACUUAGGUGGUGUUUAUUUUCUAGCUGAAUAGAAAAGAUCAAAAUAUUUUAUUUUUUUUAUUAAGUUAAAAGUACCUUAUUGAUAUUAACCAACAUAAUUAAAGUGAACUUGUUAUUAAUAAGUUUAGUCUAUUUAUAUUGAUUGAUCUUAAUGAAUUACUUUUAAUUGAAUGAAAAAAAUAAAAUAUUUUGGUUUUUUUUAUUUAAUAAAAAAAACAAACACCAUCCUAGUCUGUUUUAUCAUAAAUAAAUCACAACUUGGACGUAUAUGAAAAAACUCUGAGGAAGGCGUACGUAUGAAAUAAUAUUAUUAAAGAUAAGGUUAUAUAGAGUACAAUAUGAAGCCAUGCUUCAAACACCAUACAGAAAAGUACAUAUAUGGUUGAAUUAAACGAACUAAAACCACUCAGUUUCAAUCUUCAUUUGGCCGCAAGUCAAUUGCUCGAGGACAAUCAAUUAUUGUGCCAGCUAGCUUAUCUUAUCUUAGGCUGAUUUCAAGGUGUUACCAAUGUCAAUUACGAAGCGGUACCUAACAUCGGCUUUCUCCAGUCGCUCCAUGGCAGUGUUCACAUAGUCCAUUGGAAUAACCUCAACAUCUGCAGUUAUGUUGUGUUUCCCCGCAAAAUCAAUCAUUUCCUGUGUCUCCUUCAUCCCUCCUAUACAGCUUCCAGCUACUACCUUCCUCCCUGUCAUUCAAAUUCCUGUUAGCUAUACUUAUUUGAGUUUCAUUAGUUUUUUAAUUUUCUUAGAUUGAUUGUUCAUCCAAAACUGUGGAUACAAAUAGAUUUUGAAAAAUGGAUUAUUUUUAGACAAGUACUAGAAGCUAUCUUUGAUUCGAUUUUUGCUUCCACCAGAAUAAGUUAUUACUCAAGGACUCAUAAAUUACUUACCCAUAAUCAAAGGAAAGACUGGUAGCUCAAGUGGCCUAUUUGGUGCACCAACCAUAACGAGCUUCCCUUGAGAUUUCAACAAACCGAUCAAUGGAAGAAGAGGGUGAACAGCAGAGACUGUAUCAAUGAUGCCAUCCAUUGUGCCCAUGGCAGCCUGCAGAAAUUCAAGUACAUAAUAUCAACGAAUCUAUUACAAACAAUAGAAUUAACCAAGUUAGACAAUCUGUAACACAGGCACAGGAUAUACUCAAGUUUACCUACCUGCAUCUGAUCUGGUUCGCGGCUGACUAGAAAGUAGUCGGCACCAAGGUGUUCUAUGGCUUCCUUCUUCUUGCUAGGGGAAGUACUGAUCACAGUCACCUUAACCCCAAAACCCUUGGCAAACUUUACAGCUACAUGUCCCAGUCCACCUAGGCCAACCACACCGAUGUGCAUUCCAGGUUUGGUGAGUCCAAAAUGUUGCAAGGGGCUGUACACUGUGAUCCCAGCACAUAGGAGAGGAGCACCAGCAUCAAGAGGAAGGUUGUCUGGGAUACGAACCACAUAGCGCUCCUCAGCAACCAUGACAUCUGAGUAGCCUCCAUAUGUGGUGGUUCCAUCAUGGUAAGGGGCACUGUAGGUGAAUACCAUUUUGGGGCAGUAAUUCUCGAGAUCAUUGUCACAGCUAUCAC